rnacentral:rRNA from 1 species
AAUCAACGCUGGCGGCGUGCCUAACACAUGCAAGUCGCACGAGAAAGGGACUUCGGUCCUGAGUACAGUGGCGCACGGGUGAGUAACACGUGAAUAAUCUACCUCCGAGUGGGGAAUAACUGAGAGAAAUCUUAGCUAAUACCGCAUAACACUUACGAGUCAAAGCAGCAAUGCGCUUGGAGAGGAGUUCGCGGCAGAUUAGUUAGUUGGCGGGGUAAUGGCCCACCAAGACGAUGAUCUGUAUCCGGCCUGAGAGGGCGCACGGACACACUGGAACUGAAACACGGUCCAGACUCCUACGGGAGGCAGCAGUGGGGAAUUUUGCGCAAUGGGGGAAACCCUGACGCAGCAACGCCGCGUGGAGGAUGAAAUCCCUUGGGAUGUAAACUCCUUUCGAUCGGGAAGAUAAUGAC